AAGAUGGUGUCCACAUCUCAGCUCCUUGGGCUUCUGCUCUUCUGUGUUUCAGCUUCCAGAAGCGACAUUGUCAUGACCCAGUCUCCAGCCACCCUGUCUGUGACUCAAGGAGGUAGAGUCACCAUGACUUGCAAGGCUAGCCAGGGUAUUAGUGAUUACUUACACUGGUAUCAGCAAAAACCAAAUGAGGCUCCAAGACUUCUUAUCAAGUUUGCUUCCCAGUCCAUCUCUGGAAUUCCCUCCAAGUUCAGUGGCAGUGGGUCAGGGACAGAUUUCACUCUCAGCAUCAACAAUGUGGAACCUGAAGAUGCUGCAAGUUAUUAUUGUCAGCAGGGUCACAGCUUUCCUCCACAGUGA